rnacentral:rRNA from 1 species
GAUGAACGCUGGCGGCGUGCCUAAUACAUGCAAGUCGAGCGAACAGACGAGGAGCUUGCUCCUUUGACGUUAGCGGCGGACGGGUGAGUAACACGUGGGUAACCUACCUAUAAGACUGGGAUAACUUCGGGAAACCGGAGCUAAUACCGGAUAAUAUUUCGAACCGCAUGGUUCGAUAGUGAAAGAUGGCUUUGCUAUCACUUAUAGAUGGGCCUGCGCCGUAUUAGCUAGUUGGUAAGGUAACGGCUUACCAAGGCAACGAUACGUAGCCGACCUGAGAGGGUAAUCGGCCACACUGGAACUGAGACACGGUCCAGACUCCUACGGGAGGCAGCAGUAGGGAAUCUUCCGCAAUGGGCGAAAGCCUGACGGAGCAACGCCGCGUGAGUGAUGAAGGUCUUCGGAUCGUAAAACUCUGUUAUUAGGGAAGAACAAACGUGUAAGUAACUGUGCACGUCUUGACGGUACCUAAUCAGAAAGCCACGGCUAACUACGUG